GCCUGGCUCGGCGACCGUCAUGCAAUGACGUCAGAGACCGCGCGGGCGGCAUCGCUCGGCGCUCACGCGAACUGCCCUUUCUCUCACGCGGGUGACUCGUGGUACGAGCUGCGCGUUUCGAUUUCUUCCCCUGCACAUUAUCCCGUUACCUAUCAUUUCAAGGUCCCGUGAGCUGCCGACACUUCCGAAAGCGUGACGCACACUCACGAGCAGUUCCUGGAACUGUCGGCUCGACACCACGCAUCCGGAGUAGUACAUGCCGUGCACUUGUUACCAGGCGACAUAGGCGUUGCCAUGCGUUCCAGAGUGAAAUUUAAGCCCUUCUUCAAUUUUCACCAGCCACAACUACGGCGACCAUCAUCUUCCGAGUUGGAAUGUCCGUCGUGACUUUAACAGCUCCACUAACCUUCACGUUUCUCGCGUGGUCCAGGGUGUGGGAGAUCUGGAUAAAUCACUGCAACCAUUGUCAAAAACCAGUCACCUUCCCAUAGAAGAAAUGGUCACCGCCGAAAGCUCGUGCAAGCCGAGAGGCACUGCUGGGUGUAGAAGUGCCCUACGACGCAGCGCGACAACAAACAAGCAAAAUCGCCACCUGUGUGAGCUGCUACGGAGCAGCAACGGUGAGCGCUGUCGAACGCUCACCUAGCACAAGAAAAAAAAAAAAUCUAUACAAGCAAGGGACGCGACCCCCCCAUUUUUUCCGCAACCUUUCUUUCAGGAACGCCACAUGAGCCAAACGUGCCACAGGAGGAGCUUGUCUAAAACAAAAAUGUCUACUCUCUCUCUCUCUCUUUGAUACUGGCAUAAAGCAUCAUUAAUCUUU